CCGUAUAGGGGAGCCGUAGAGAAAUCGAGUCUUAAUAGGGCGUUUAGUUGCUGGGUAUAGACCCGAAACCAGGCGAUCUAUCCAUGAGCAGGUUGAAGGUUGGGUAACACUAACUGGAGGACCGAACCCACUGUCGUUGAAAAGCCAGGGGAUGACUUGUGGAUAGGGGUGAAAGGCUAAUCAAGCCUGGUGAUAGCUGGUUCUCCCCGAAAGCUAUUUAGGUAGCGCCUCGGACGAAUACCAUAGGGGGUAGAGCACUGUUUCGGCUAGGGGGUCAUCCCGACUUACCAAACCGAUGCAAACUCCGAAUACCUAUGAGUACUAUCCGGGAGACAGACUGCGGGUGCUAACGUCCGUAGUCAAGAGGAAAACAAUCCAGACCGCCAGCUAAGGCCCCAAAAUCAUAGUUAAGUGGGAAACGAUGUGGGAAGGCAUAGACAGCUAGGAGGUUGGCUUAGAAGCAGCCACCCUUUAAAGAAAGCGUAAUAGCUCACUAGUCGAGUCGGCCUGCGCGGAAGAUGUAACGGGGCUAAAACUAUGUGCCGAAGCUGCGGAUGUAUACUUUGUAUACGUGGUAGGGGAGCGUUCUGUAAGCCGAUGAAGGUGUGUUGAGAAGCAUGCUGGAGGUAUCAGAAGUGCGAAUGCUGACGUGAGUAACGACAAAACGGGUGAAAAACCCGUUCGCCGAAAGACCAAGGGUUCCAGUCCAACGUUAAUCGGGGCUGGGUGAGUCGACCCCUAAGGCGAGGCCGAAAGGCGUAGUCGAUGGGAAAAUGGUUAAUAUUCCAUUACUUCUGUGUAAUGCGAUGAGAGGACGGAGAAGGCUAAAUCAGCCUGGCGUUGGUUGUCCAGGUGAAAGGAUGUAGGCAUGUAUCUUAGGCAAAUCCGGGGUACUCUAUGCUGAGAUCUGAUAGCAAGCUGUACUUGUACAGCGAAGUGGUUGAUGCCAUGCUUCCAGGAAAAGUCUCUAAGCUUCAGUUACACAGGAAUCGUACCCGAAACCGACACAGGUGGUCAGGUCGAGUAGACCAAGGCGCUUGAGAGAACUCUGCUGAAGGAACUAGGCAAAAUGGUACCGUAACUUCGGGAGAAGGUACGCUGUUGUUGGUGAUGGAACUGCUUCCUGAGCUGACGACAGCCGCAGAAACCAGGCCGCUGCAACUGUUUAUUAAAAACAUAGCACUCUGCAAACACGAAAGUGGACGUAUAGGGUGUGAUGCCUGCCCGGUGCUGGAAGGUUAAUUGAUGGGGUUAGCGUAAGCGAAGCUCUUGAUCGAAGCCCCAGUAAACGGCGGCCGUAACUAUAACGGUCCUAAGGUAGCGAAAUUCCUUGUCGGGUAAGUUCCGACCUGCACGAAUGGCAUAAUGAUGGCGGCGCUGUCUCCAGCAGAGGCUCAGUGAAAUCGAAAUCGCUGUGAAGAUGCAGUGUACCCGCGGCUAGACGGAAAGACCCCGUGAACCUUUACUGCAGCUUGACACUGAACUUUGACCUUACUUGUGUAGGAUAGGUGGGAGGCUUUGAAGCUGGAACGCUAGUUCCAGUGGAGCCGUCCUUGAAAUACCACCCUGGUAAUGUUGAGGUUCUAACUCUGUCCCGUGAUCCGGGACGAGGACCGUGUCUGGUGGGUAGUUUGACUGGGGCGGUCUCCUCCUAAAGAGUAACGGAGGAGUACGAAGGUGCGCUCAGCGUGGUCGGAAAUCACGCGUAGAGUAUAAAGGCAAAAGCGCGCUUAACUGCGAGACCCACAAGUCGAGCAGGUACGAAAGUAGGUCUUAGUGAUCCGGUGGUUCUGUAUGGAAGGGCCAUCGCUCAACGGAUAAAAGGUACUCUGGGGAUAACAGGCUGAUACCGCCCAAGAGUUCAUAUCGACGGCGGUGUUUGGCACCUCGAUGUCGGCUCAUCUCAUCCUGGGGCUGAAGCAGGUCCCAAGGGUAUGGCUGUUCGCCAUUUAAAGAGGUACGCGAGCUGGGUUUAGAACGUCGUGAGACAGUUCGGUCCCUAUCUACCGUGGGCGCUGGAAAUUUGAGAGGAUCUGCUCCUAGUACGAGAGGACCAGAGUGGACGAACCUCUGGUGUACCGGUUGUGACGCCAGUCGCAUCGCCGGGUAGCUAUGUUCGGAAGGGAUAACCGCUGAAAGCAUCUAAGCGGGAAGCCUACCUCAAGAUAAGAUUUCCCUAGGACUUUAUGUCCUCUAAAGAGCCGUUCGAGACUAGGACGUUGAUAGGUUGGAUGUGGAAGCAUAGUGAUAUGUGAAGCUGACCAAUACUAAUUGCUCGUGAGGCUUGACU
rnacentral:rRNA from 1 species